rnacentral:rRNA from 1 species
UAGAGCCCUCUAAAGGAUGCAAAAGUCGUAACACGGUUUCCGUAGGUGAACCUGCGGAAGGAUCA